ensembl:snRNA U6 U6 spliceosomal RNA
GUGCUCACUUCAGCAGCACAUAGACUAAAAUUAGAACAACACAGAAAAGAUUAGCAUGGCCCCUGGCCAAGAAUGAGAUGCAAAUUUGUGAAGUGUUUCACAUUUUU